rnacentral:rRNA from 1 species
GGGUCAGUAGGUUGGUCGUGCCACCGGUACGUACUGGUCUCGCUGAUUCCUCCUUCCUGAAGAACCGUAAUGCCAUUAAUUUGGUGUUGCGGGGAAACAGGACUGUUACUUUGAAAAAAUCAGAGUGUUUAAAGCAAGCUAACGCUUGAAUACAUUAGCAUGGAAUAAUGAAAUAGGACGAUCGAUCCUAUUUUGUUGGUUUCUAGGAUUGACGUA